AACGUAGGUUCCGAGCGUUAUCCGGAUUUACUGGGCGUAAAGCGCGUUCAGGCGGUUUGGCAAGUCGGGCAUGAAAUCCUUCGGCUCAACCGGGGGAGGUUGUCCGAUACUGCUAAACUGGAGGGCAGUAGAGGGUGGUGGAAUUCCGGGUGUAGUGGUGAAAUGCGUAGAGAUCCGGAAGAACACCGGUGGCGAAGGCGGCCUGACUGGGCAGUGGCUGACGCUGAGGCGCGACAGCGUGGGGAGCAAACAGG
rnacentral:rRNA from 1 species